rnacentral:rRNA from 1 species
GACGAACGCUGGCGGCGUGCUUAACACAUGCAAGUCGAACGGAAAGGCCCAGCUUGCUGGGUGCUCGAGUGGCGAACGGGUGAGUAACACGUGGGUGAUCUGCCCUGGACUUUGGGAUAAGCCUGGGAAACUGGGUCUAAUACCGGAUAUGACCUUCGCCUGCAUGGGUGUUGGUGGAAAGCUUUUGCGGUUCAGGAUGGGCCCGCGGCCUAUCAGCUUGUUGGUGGGGUAUGGCCUACCAAGGCGACGACGGGUAGCCGGCCUGAGAGGGCGACCGGCCACACUGGGACUGAGACACGGCCCAGACUCCUACGGGAGGCAGCAGUGGGGAAUAUUGCGCAAUGGGCGAAAGCCUGACGCAGCGACGCCGCGUGAGGGACGAAGGUCUUCGGAUUGUAAACCUCUUUCAGCAGGGAUGAAGCGAAAGUGACAGUACCUGCAGAAGAAGCACCGGCUAACUACGUGCCAGCAGCCGCCGUAACAC